rnacentral:tRNA from 1 species
UCAGGAUAGCUCAGUUGGUAGAGCAGAGGACUGAA